rnacentral:lncRNA from 1 species
AAUUUUGGGGAAAACAGUCUGAUGAUUUGAAAUCAUUCUGUGAUCUGCAAGUGCUGAGGCUUAAUCCAGAUAAGCCUUCAUGAGGAAAGCCAAAGCCCAGUGUUACUACUGCAUCUUGAGCCGUCUGAGCCGCCGGAGGACGACAACGCUGGCUUGGGCCGCUCAGUGGUUCUUUAGAGCUCUGGCUGAUGCAUUUUGCUUCACUCCCACUGGGACCCCUGAGUUAUAAUAGAACAGAAUUAUGUUGGUAGUUUACAGCUGUGCUAUUGUCCCUUUGUUCACAAAAGUUAACUUUCUGCAACAAACUUUGGUCAGAAAAGAGGAAGUUCGGGAUGUUUACCAACUUAGAGUGUUGCUUUUUUUUUUUUUUUAAUGAUUUCAAAGUAAAAUUGAUUUUUAUUUGAGAAGGGUCCUCAAGCUUUGUGGGGGAAAGAAAAUCUUAACAUCUGUAUCCAUGCUAUUUGGUACAUCUCUUUGAGGGAGAAUUUCAUUUGUGAUGAAAAGCACUCAGAUGAAAGUGGCGUUGUAUUUUGAAAUAGUUAUUAUUUCACUUGAUCCGCAAAUAUUCUAGUUUCUUCAGCACUUUCACAGAACCGCCAGCUUGAGCAGAGGAGAAAAGCUCAUGUGAUAAUUACUAAAUGCUCUAAUAAAGUCUGCG